UACGUAGGUCCCGAGCGUUGUCUGGAUUUGUUGGGCGUAAAGCGAGCGCAGGUGGUUUAUUAAGUCUGGUGUAAAAGGCAGUGGCUCAACCAUUGUAUGCAUUGGAAACUGGUAGACUUGAGUGCAGGAGAGGAGAGUGGAAUUCCAUGUGUAGCGGUGAAAUGCGUAGAUAUAUGGAGGAACACCGGUGGCGAAAGCGGCUCUCUGGCCUGUAACUGACACUGAGGCUCGAAAGCGUGGGGAGCAAACAGG
rnacentral:rRNA from 1 species